rnacentral:rRNA from 1 species
UCUCGAUUCUAUUUCGUUGGCUUUCGGAGUCGAGGUAAUGAUUAAUAGGGAUAGACGGGGCAUUCGUACUGCGACGUUAGAGGUGAAAUUCUUGGAUCGUCGCAAGACGAACUACUGCGAAAGCAUUUGCCAAGAAUGUUUUCAUUAAUCAAGAACGAAAGUUAGAGGUUCGAAGGCGAUCAGAUACCGCCCUAGUUCUAACCAUAAACGAUGAUGACCAGCGAUCCGUAGUCGUUAAAUGAAUGACUCUACGGGCAGCUUCAGAGAAAUCAAAGUCUUUGAUUUCUGGGGGGAGUAUGGUUGCAAAGCUGAAACUUAAAAGAAUUGACGGAAGGGCACCACCAGGUGUGGAGCUUGCGGCUUAAUUUGACUCAACACGG